rnacentral:rRNA from 1 species
UACGUAGGGGGCAAGCGUUGUCCGGAUUUAUUGGGCGUAAAGAGCGUGUAGGCGGCCGUACAGGUCAGCUGUGAAAACUCGAGGCUCAACCUCGAGACGUCGGUUGAAACCGUACGGCUAGAGUCCGGAAGAGGAGAGUGGAAUUCCCGGUGUAGCGGUGAAAUGCGCAGAUAUCGGGGAAGAACACCCGUGGCGAAGGCG